AUGAAUUUCUUUAAACAACUAUCACAUCAACUAUCACAUAUUCUCAGGAGGAGCGGUAGCAGGGCACAUUUAUUAGAGAACAACGGCAGCACACAAGCAGAUUAUGACCAGGAUGUAGGAGAGCACCGUGGGAGGGUUCCGCUACUUGAGCUUGUCAGGGAUCACCCUGCUGCUGCCUCCUGCUCCGCUGUGGAUGGUUGUCUCUCCAAAACACCCGAGUCUGUUUUGGAAGAGCAGACAAGGGUUUGUGUGGAUCACCUCAUACAAAGAUCAGAGCCCAUGCACCUCCCAGAGCCACCAGCAGACCUGGACCAGGACCUCCAGCAACACCUGAGCCACCUGCAGGAGGCCGUAUGCAAUGAGCUCAUACGGCUGGCUCACGCUUUGGAGGCCAGGGGCCUGAUGGGGCAACAGGUAAACUUCAAUCACUGUCAGAUAUUCAAUCACCUGGACUGUCUGCUCCUGAAGGUCAGCUCCUUCAAGAAUUGCUUCAUCUUAAUGAACUGGGGCCUGAAAACCUAUUUGAGUCAGGAGAUGCUUGGUCACCCUGACCUUAGAGAAAUGGAUCCUAUAAAACAUGUGGACAUCCUGCUGCUCUCAGAAUGGGGGGUGAAGGCCAAGAACAAGCUGCUUGAAAAAGCACAGGAAGAGAUGAGAGUUCAACUGGAGAACAUCCUGCAGCAUCACAGACAGCAAGACGUCUGUGACGGCAACACAGACGAAGCCUUUGUUCAAACCUAUGUGGACGCUAUUGGGGUAAUGAAGCGAGUUACUAACGCGGGGCUAGAUGAGAUCUCAGCUGUUCGUGGCUUCUUAGUACCGCUCGUGUUCCUCACUCCCCCAGUGCAUCGCUGCCAUGCCUCGGAACGCACAACGCAUCAGCUCUAAACUGUCGUACGAAGUCAAAGAGGUUGGUUUCCAAGAGCUGUACAUAUUUGUGGAGAGGUGAGUUUGUUUUUAGUUAUCUCAGCAACAUCCUGAACAAGCUACGACAGCUCUGCAGGAGUCUCAUUGCUGUUGUAGGUACAGAGAAGAGCAGACCAAAGUUCUCAAGAAGAUGGAGAAAACAGACAAACUGGAGAUGAUACAGUUUUUCAAGACUUUGAAGACGUGUCAGGAACUCAAGUAAGAAGAAUCACACAUUACACAAUGGGCAACGUGAAAUAGCAGCAGCACAGCCGUGUUCAUGAUCUCUCCUUUUAGGAAGCACAUCCAGACUGAAGGAGAAGAAAUCAGUAGCUCGCUUUGUAAGGAAAUCUUGGAAAUGCUUAAAAAAAUAGAAGAUUUGACUCUAGAACUUCUGAGGGGCGUUGUAACAAAGGUGGCGAAGGUACAGUAUCUGCUCCACUGACCUAAUGUGUACAGGACAGUAUCAUUAAAAACUGUACUGCCUGCCACACAGGUCAUUGCCAUGAACUUGUGUGUGAAUGCAUCCACUAUUCCAGACAAGUUGAAAUGCCUUUUGUUUUUGUGAACAGAAGCACCUUCAGCGUUACUUCCAGUCAGACAAACAGCAAUUUGUGCUGUUGAUUGAUUCAGUGAGUAGGAUGUUUCCACGUCUGGAGAACUGUGACCAAGUAUGACAAGUUCAAAAUCGAAACCUAAAACAUCAUCUCUUCCAGCUGUGUAUGUGUUUAGGUUCUUCUGCAAAUGCCUCUGUUGGUCUUUGUGUCUCAGACAGUGACUCUUGAAGUCUGCAAGAUCCUCGUCCAUAGUUACAUCAAGUAUCUUCUAAAAACAAAGGUGAAGAAACUGCAGCGGUGCUGGAACCCUGAUGUCGGUGAAGCAGUGAGUAAAGAUGCUGGCUGGCUUCACGCCAUCAUGUCGGACCUGGUGAGCUCAACUUGUCCCUGUAGCAAAGCGAUGAACCUGAAAGCAGUGAUGGUAAAGUAGUCAUGGCAUGUGUUUUUGUGCCACGUCAGGCUCCCGGCGUGCAGGAGUGGAGCAAUAAGAUGAAGAAAAUCGAGGAGGUGCUGGACUGCAGCGACAUCAACGCUCUGAAACUGAUCGUUGCUGCAAUGCAGAAGGACAGUUUAAUAGCGAGGUACAGUAAAUGAUUCAAUCCUAGAAAUGCAGCAGACCUGUUAAGGAGUCCAGGUUUCAGUUUAUAUCAGUUGUGCUUUCCCUUCAUGGCAGUGAGGACCUGCACAGGCUGCUGCGAUGGAAGGGUCUUUCCAAACGGGACGUCAGGGAGGUGCUGGACGCCAUUUGUGACGACUACAACCCCGGAGCAUCAUCCAGAGCCUGGUGCUCAUGUCUGGGGAGCUGAAGAGGGUCCUUCUCAGAUGAUCUCUGAUCUCAGAGAUCCUGUACGAACUCUCAGGACCUGAAGAAACACUUUUAGGUCCGACUCUGCUGCUACUGAGUAGUGUUGCCCUUCAGGUUGAGGUACACAGAAUUUUUUCAUAGACUUUAUCUAAAAAUCUGCUCGGCAUCUAUUCUGGAUCUUAUUUAUUGUUGGUGAUUGGUCCGUUUACUGCUCUUAAUGUAUUGGCUUGUACAUUUGUACAUGCUGCCUUUUUGUAGUGUUUGUACUCGUACAAAGCUGUUCGAGCACUUGGAGGUUCUUACGUCAUGUUAAUAGUUUUAAUAGGUUUUUUAUGUAUCUAUUUUUAUGUUUUUCACCACAGACAGAUCCUCUACUAUAAGAGCUGCCUUUUGUGCUGUUGAGUUUCCAUUAGUGUAAUUUACUAAAUUGUUUAAUGUUGACUUUUGGUUUUAAUGAUUUACAGUCUCUCUUUAAAGUAUAUAGUUCUGCUUUGCCCACGACCCAGAAUGGGGAAAAAAAUGGAUGAAUGGAUGAUCUGCUUAGGUGAAUUUCAUUUACUUCUGUAAUCAUUUAUAAUCCAUCCUUGGAUUUUUAGUUACUAGGAAGCAACUUACACUUUUCUUUUUCCGUCGUCAGUGUAAUGAAGAAAGCCUGAUUUUAUUAAGUGUGUGUGUGUGUCUCUAUUGUAUUGUUAACAAUCUAUCAGCAGAGGAGGGGAGGCUGGUGAAAGUGGGUAGAGCUUUUAGCUUGUUAGCUAACACUGUGGAAGUGGGAAGAUCGCAGGUUUUCUGGUUAUCUUUGUCCACAAUACUGAUUUUGAGUGCAUAAGUACACCCCAUUGAUGAGCUUAGCCGUAACCUAUAUAAAAACAAAGUCACAAUCAGGGGAUAUGCAACGUUUACUCUUUUUACUGAACAGUAUCAAAACAGCGUUACAUUGCAUUCGCUAACGCUAACAGUCUUAGCUUGUCUGCAUUCACCACCACUGCCGCCUAGUGUCCCAUUAAGUAAUUACGUCUAAACCUUUCCUACGUCAUAUGGUCAAUAUCUCAAUAACCUCUCAUUUCUGCUUUAUAUUUCUUCAAGCUCAUUUGACCGUCAACUACAGAAUGAACUAUCACCACUGACAGCAAAAUACCACGCCUCUAGCUCAUGCCUUAACACAUGUCCAUCCACAUGUACAUCCUAAUUUAAUAUACAGUUGAUCUAUCUGAGAGAUCGCCUAAACAUGACCAAAUAUGUCAGCAAACAUACAAAAACCUAAAUAUAUAUAUACUGUGUAUAUAUAAAAUACACAGUAACAACAUGGGAUCCUCUUGCUAUUUAAAAAAGACGGGAGACGUACAGCACGGUACGUUGUCGAUGCUAGGCUGAAAUUACGUCACUUUAAAACAUCGACUUUAUAAAUACAUUGCUCAAAAAAAUAAAAGGGAACGCUUAAACA
rnacentral:lncRNA from 1 species